AAGUCGUAACAAGGUAACCGUAGGUGAACCUGCGGUUGGAUCAUUAACAAGAAACUUGCCGCUUUGCUCGAUCGCCCUUUCGGGGCAUCGGCACGGCAAUUAUCCACCCAACCUGUGAACGAAUUGUUGUAUCUUGGCGGGAUAUCUCUGAGAGGUGCGAUUUUCGCAUCAAUCGGGCCCAAGCUUUGGAAUUUAUUCCUCGGUUGGGCUGCGCGUUGGUUCUCAAAACCGACGCGCUGGGUUCCCGCCAGCCAUAUGAACACACCAGUUUUUUCAAUUACAUGCCUUAAAUAAAAAAGCCAUAAUGAGAAACAACUUUAGACAACGGAUCUCUUGGCUCUC
rnacentral:misc_RNA from 1 species